AUACGGAGGGUCCAAGCGUUAUCCGGAUUCAUUGGGUUUAAAGGGUCCGCAGGCGGGAAAAUAAGUCAGUGGUGAAAGCCUACAGCUCAACUGUAGAACUGCCAUUGAUACUGUUUUUCUUGAGUAUAGAUGAAGUGGGCGGAAUAUAUCAUGUAGUGGUGAAAUGCAUAGAUAUGAUAUAGAACACCGAUUGCGAAGGCAGCUCACUAAACUAUUACUGACGCUCAGGGACGAAAGCGUGGGGAGCGAACAGGAAUAGAAACCCUAGUAGUCC
rnacentral:rRNA from 1 species